AGCAGUCGCCGCGGUAAUACAGAGGAUGCAAGCGUUAUCCGGAAUUAUUGGGCGUAAAGGGCUCGCAGGCGGUUUCCUAAGUCUGAUGUGAAAGCCCCCGGCUCAACCGGGGAGGGUCAUUGGAAACUGGGAAACUUGAGUGCAGAAGAGGAGAGUGGAAUUCCACGUGUAGCGGUGAAAUGCGUAGAGAUGUGGAGGAACACCAGUGGCGAAGGCGACUCUCUGGUCUGUAACCGACGCUGAGGAGCGAAAGCGUGGGGAGCGAACAGGAUUAGAUACCCCUGUAGUCCCUGUCUCUUAUAC
rnacentral:rRNA from 1 species